AUAAGAACGUCAACUGACUUGAAAAGAAGAGUGCCAGGGUUCACCCUAACACAGUGGAAUUUGCCAGUUGCACACACAAACUUUGUGGGGGACUCUGCCACCCUGACAUUAGACUGGGUCCCAUAGUCUGUACAGCAGUUACACGAGGAAGAAAACGAUCGUGGGAAGAAAUAUUUUCUGUUAUUCCAUUUCAUCAUCAUGUUGCACAUGUUUGUAAACUUAUGUGAUUUGAGAUAUAUGUAAAAAUGUGAAACGCUGUGAAUUCUUGGAUUCUAAUGAUGGUAUAAUAUGGCCUGGAUUGUUGGGUUUUUGGUCCUUGACCAUGUCUGAUGUAAUAAACACAACAUUUCCAGGACUGGAUCUUUCCCCAUCUUCAGGUGUAAUGAAGGGGACUCUGAGUCUCUGGGGCCCAUUAGAAUGAGCUAAUCUCAGUCACUGGUUCAGUGAGUGAGGUGCCCCUUUCACUACACCUGAAGACAAGGGCAGAUCCAGUUGAAGAUGACUGUAAACAUCUACCAGACUACAUGGCACAACAACCCAGAAGACAGCCAUCUUCAGACUCACCACUGUGAAAACUUCAAACACCGGUACUUGUUUGAAAUUUUUCCAUGUUAUCGACUACAAACGAUAAUAUUAAGGGCAAGAAUUCACUGGGUAGUGGAAGAAUAUUAAACUUCUUAAAUAAU